ensembl:lncRNA FTX FTX transcript, XIST regulator
AAGGUUGCAAAAUGGCGAGGGGGGAGGUGAUGCCACACUCAAUCAGAAACUAUGCUACUGCUGAAGAGGUAUAUUGAGCCCUGCCUGGUUAACCUCCAGUGAGGUUAUUAGAGAAUUGGGAGAGGCUCAAAUCAGCAUCCUGCACCUAGUUAUCAAACCAUUGUGAAGUCUUGAUUCCUGGAUGGCCAGAAAACUUGUCAUUGGUCAAGAGCAACAUUAAGAUCUGCCUGUUACUCAUACUGAUGCUUCCUGCCCAGCAAGUUCAUCAGAGGGCGAGGAUGAAUUACGGUUGCCAUGAAUGUCCUUGUGAGGCAGUUGGGAAGCCUUGGCUGGAUUGUGAAGGAUAUUUGAAAAGUAUUUUAGAGUCCACCAGAUCAUCCAUGUGAGUGACCAUGCAGCAAAAGAAGGAGGGUCCUCUCAGUGAUUAAGGAUUAUGAAGUAUUAAUUCUUCCACUGAUAUCUCAAAAGGUGAUCUGGACAAAGGAACAGGUAUCUCAGAACAGUGGUUGGUAGGAUGGCGGAGACAUGGACUUCAGAGAGUUCUUGGUAGAAGACUCAAAGAGCCACCUGUCAUGAGACAUCCCACUUCCUUCCCCAGGUUACUUCCAAGACUGAGCAGCCAGGUUUUUGGUAGAUGAGAACAAAUGUUUCUUCCUGAAGCCCUGGGGCUUCAGGUAGGAAGAAGGACUGCUAUACUUGUUCUCACCCUUGGCUUCUGGCUGCUCCAGUUAAACAUGGUUCCCAUUGAUACAGACAUUAGAGUGGGAAAGGACUUCGUUCAUAGACCGAAGACCCUCAAAGGAAAGUCCUUCCAUUUUGGGAAGGGUGACAUUGAUUUCGUUUAGCUGCUUAAGAUAUGUACUUGCUGUUGUCUUGUGAGACAUGACAUCUGAAGCUGAAGAGGAGUCCCUCUCAUUGUUGUCAUUGUCCCACCGGGACUGAAAGUCUCCCAGUUGAGGCAGCAUUUUAGCUUUGAUGUCUACAGGGCAAUCAUGGAUCAGGAAAUUUCUGCAAAUUAGACUUGGAAAACAAGGUCUUGAUCCUUCUUGUCUUUGGACGAAGACUAAUCAUCACUUUUGACUGAAGGUGUAGUGCUGGAGACUAUGUUGGAGGCAGCACCUGAUGCACUAUCCAUAUUCUUCCCCUUGAUCUUGUCUUAAAGUUUUCCAAAUGGAUUCCGAGGCUUGUCUUUGAUGAAAAGGUCAAACAUACUGGCAGUCAUGUUGUUUCUCAUAAGCUGGAUGUCAACCUCAAUUUCUCCUCUUUAUCCUUCUCUCCUGGUUUGGAUUUCAAGGUAUACCACCGCAUCUUCCUGCUCCCCUAGUCUGGGUGCAGGUCCUGCAGGUACACCUCGGCGAAGCCCAAGUACAGUAGCAGCAGCACCUCAAAGGUGGCCUCCUCCUCUGACACUGAGGUGGCAUACUUCUCCUUACCCACCUGAAUCACCGAGUACAUGUUGCUUGUACCGUCAGGCUCUUGGUUCUUGGCCCCUGGCCCUAUGCCUGCAACACUGUCACCUGCACGUGGAUUGGGAACCACAUAGCCCCCGGACCUGCUAAGGCCAUUAAGGACAGGAUGGUGAUGCCUCGGCUGACUGACGUGAGAAGAUUGUCAUGACCCAUGGCCUCUACUGCUGUCCUACCAACAGAAACUUCAUAAUGUUGUGCAGGCGUUACCACUACCUAGUUCCAGAACAUUGCCAUCACCCCCAAAAUAAAUCUUGCAUUCAUUAAGCAGUCACCCCUAUUUUCCCCCAU